CCUACGGGUGGCAGCAGUGGGGCAUAUUGCACAAUGGAGGAAACUCUGAUGCAGCGACGCCGCGUGAGGGAAGACGGUCUUCUGAUUGUAAACCUCUGUCUUUGAGGAAGAAAAUGACGGUACCCAAACAGGAAGCUCCGUCUAACUACGUUCCAGCAGCCGCGGUAAUACGUAGGGAGCGAGCGUUGUCCGGAAUUACUGGGUGUAAAGGGAGCGUAGGCGGGUUAGAAAGUUGAUUGGUAAAUCUACCGGCUUAACUGGUAGCUGCGUGGAAAACUUCUUGUCUUGAGUGAAGUAGAGGCAGGCGGAAUUCGUGGUGUAGCGGGGAAAUGCGUAGAUAUUAGGAGGAACACCAGUGGCGAAGGCGGCCUGCUGGGCUUUAACUGACGCUGAGGCUCGAAAGCGUGGGGAGCAAACAGGAUUAGAUACCCCUGUAGUC
rnacentral:rRNA from 1 species